UAGUUUAGCCUGGAACAUGUGUUUGAAAAGUAGGAAAAUGGCUUCUGGAAAAUGGUUUUCGGAAAAUGAGUCAUUUUCUAGAAAACAAUUUCUUUUCUAGUGUUUGGUUGCAA